rnacentral:rRNA from 1 species
UACGUAGGGGGCAAGCGUUGUCCGGAAUCAUUGGGCGUAAAGAGCGUGUAGGCGGCCAUGCAGGUCCGUUGUGAAAACUCGAGGCUCAACCUCGAGACGCCGGUGGAAACCGUGUGGCUAGAGUCCGGAAGAGGAGAGUGGAAUUCCUGGUGUAGCGGUGAAAUGCGCAGAUAUCAGGAAGAACACCCGUGGCGAAGGCGGCUCUCUGGGACGUGACUGACGCUGAGACGCGAAAGCGUGGGGAGCAAACAGG